AGCCCAGAUGCUGGGCGUGUAUCAGCGGGAGUCACGUCUAGCCGGUCAACAAGUUCAUCCACGAAGUGUUCACGAAGAUGAACGAAUGGUGAGGAUAAAGUGUCCAUUGAUGUUGGUUGUCAGGGAGGAUGAUCAGAACUAGGCCACAGUGGAGUCUGUCAAGGACAUAGCCCAGAUGAUGCGUGCAGCGGGUAACAAGCACCUACUGACCAUUCUACAAUACCCUGAUGCUGGACACCUCAUUAAGCUGCCCUACACACCCCACUUCAGAGCCACUUCAGAUCCAGCAACUUCAUAGUGCCUCAAACACGACAGAAAGGCACUGUACACACACAAAGCUCACACCUACAGUAUACACACCGUAUACACACCGGAACCAAGAUAUGUAUAACCAAUUCUUAGACAUGUUGCAGUGAUCAUGUUGUGUGGGAAGGGUACCCAAAGCAGCACAUCAAUGCUCAAGAAGACUCCUGGGAAAAGAGCCUUUCUAAGGCAACACCUGUAACCCAGACAUGACUCUGUCCCUAAGGUCAAGCUGUGAUGUCACACCCGAGAAGCCUCCAGGACCUAGUAUGAACGAGUCUCUCAUUCACUGUACUGUCUGAGUUUCAACCUUCCCAUAGUGUUAACACCUGUGACUAUAACCUAACUGCCAUAGUACACAGUUGACCGAUAUUAUUUUUUUUGAUU